GUAGGAUAAGCUAAGCACACUGUUGGUUAUGUGUGCCCAAGCAUUGAGGCAGUCAAAGUAGGCAAAUCCGCUUUGAUAAUGCUGGGAUGUGAUGGGGAGCGAAAUUUAGUAGCGAAGUAGCUGAUUUCACACUGUCAAGAAAAGUCUCUAUCGAGGUUAAAGGUACCCGUACCGCAAACCGACACAGGUGGGUGAGGAGAGUAUCCUAAGGCCAGCGAGAGAACUGUUGUUAAGGAACUCGGCAAAAUGACCCCGUAACUUAGGGAUAAGGGGUGCCACCAUCAGGUGGCCGCAGAGAAUAGGCCCAAGCGACUGUUUACCAAAAACAUAGGUUUCUGCUAAGUCGCAAGACGAUGUAUAGGAGCUGACGCCUGCCCGGUGCUGGAAGGUUAAGGGGAUCUGUUAGAGCAAUCGAAGCAGUGAACUUAAGCCCCAGUAAACGGCGGCCGUAACUAUAACGGUCCUAAGGUAGCGAAAUUCCUUGUCGGGUAAGUUCCGACCCGCACGAAAGGCGUAACGAUUUGGGCACUGUCUCAACAACAGACUCGGUGAAAUUGUAAUUCCGGUGAAGAUGCCGGAUACCUGCGACAGGACGGAAAGACCCCAUGGAGCUUUACUGUAGCUUGACAUUGGGUCUUGGUACUACAUGUACAGGAUAGGUGGGAGGCUUUGAAACCAGGACGCCAGUUUUGGCGGAGCCAUCCUUGGGAUACCACCCUUGUAGUACUGGGACUCUAACCAUAGGCCAUGAAUCUGGUCUUGGGACACUGUCAGGUGGGCAGUUUGACUGGGGCGGUCGCCUCCCAAAAGGUAACGGAGGCGCUCAAAGGUUCUCUCAGUACGGUCGGAAAUCGUACGUAGAGUGUAAAGGCAAAAGAGAGCUUGAUUGCAAGACAUACAGGUCGAGCAAGGAUGAAAAUCGGACUUAGUGAUCCGGUGGUUCUGCGUGGAAGGGCCAUCGCUCAACGGAUAAAAGCUACCCUGGGGAUAACAGGCUUAUCUCCCCCAAGAGUCCACAUCGACGGGGAGGUUUGGCACCUCGAUGUCGGCUCAUCACAUCCUGGGGCUGUAGUAGGUCCCAAGGGUUGGGCUGUUCGCCCAUUAAAGUGGUACGCGAGCUGGGUUCAGAACGUCGUGAGACAGUUCGGUCCCUAUCCGUCGCAGGCGUAGGAAAUUUGAGAAGACCUGUCCUUAGUACGAGAGGACCGGGAUGGACGUACCUCUGGUGUACCAGUUGUCCUGCCAAGGGCAUGGCUGGGUAGCUAUGUACGGAAUGGAUAAGCGCUGAAAGCAUCUAAGCGCGAAGCCAACUUCAAGAUAAGAUUUCCCACCGCAAGGGUAAGACCCCAGAAAGACUAUCUGGUUGAUAGGUCGAAGGUGUAAGUGCAGCAAUGUAUUUAGCUUAUCGAUACUAAUAG
rnacentral:rRNA from 1 species